rnacentral:rRNA from 1 species
UACAGAGGGUGCAAGCGUUAAUCGGAAUUACUGGGCGUAAAGCGUGCGUAGACGGUUAUUUAAGUCAGGUGUGAAAGCCCCGGGCUCAACCUGGGAAUUGCAUUUGAGACUGAAUAGCUAGGGUGCGGAAGAGGGAAGCGGAAUUUCCGGUGUAGCGGUGAAAUGCGCAGAUAUCAGGAAGAACACCCGUGGCUAAGGCGGUUCUCUAGUACGGUACUGACGCUGAGACGCGAAAAGCGUGGGGGAGCGAACAGG